rnacentral:piRNA from 1 species
UAGAUGGAAACCACAGACUGGUUUUUGCAAG